rnacentral:rRNA from 1 species
CCUACGGGAGGCAGCAGUGAGGAAUAUUGGUCAAUGGGCGCGAGCCUGAACCAGCCAAGUCGCGUGAGGGAAGACGGUCCUAUGGAUUGUAAACCUCUUUUGUCGGGGAGCAAAAGACGCCACGUGUGGCGUUCCGAGAGUACCCGAAGAAAAAGCAUCGGCUAACUCCGUGCCAGCAGCCGCGGUAAUACGGAGGAUGCGAGCGUUAUCCGGAUUUAUUGGGUUUAAAGGGUGCGCAGGCGGAAGAUCAAGUCAGCGGUAAAAUUGAGAGGCUCAACCUCGUCGAGCCGUUGAAACUGGUUUUU